UUUUGCAUUUUAAAAUACCACUUUUGAUUUGGAUGAAACUAAAUAUCUGUACAAAGGACACAACGCAAAGUUUUUGAUUUCUCUCAAAACAUAUAUUUCUUUUCAUGUUGAACAGAUAAUAUCUUUAAUUUGAGUCAAAGUGAUUUGCACUUGAACACGCCCACCAGAAAUAGACCGGGACCCAUUUUUAUUCUGCAUGGCUGCUGGAAACAUCGUGUCACAUCUUUGAUUAAUUUCAUCUGAAAAUAAACAACCACAGAUCGCUCCAUCCAUUCCAUGGCUGAAGCAUACAUUUUCAUUUAAUCUGAACAGAUAUCCCAGAAAGAUGAAGCUGAGGAAGAGCUGCAGAGUAACCACCAUGGCACUCUUCAUCUUCAGGGACAACUCAAGCCUCCUACAUCAGCGUCGAGACAUCGGGAUAAUCAUUGAUGGUGUGGAAGUCCUGAAUGAGUUGCCUUCUGUGGCAGCUGGAGUGGCAAUGGUCUUUGGACUCUGUUAUGCUCUUAAAAUGGAAU